rnacentral:sRNA from 1 species
AGAAAUAUUUGUAGGUGUACCAAGUGAACGUUAUCCUGCACACUUAGAAAGCCGAU